AAACACUGCAUUUUGCUUUCAUCUUUUUCCUUCGGCACUUUGAGAGAGAUGGCUGAACAGAUCCCCUAUGGUGUUGCUACUUCACUCAUCAACAAGAUUGCUUCACUUGCCUUUCGUGAAAUCGGGAGGAUCUAUGGAGUCAUGGAUGACCUUGAGAAGCUGAAGGCCACUUUGGAAUCCAUCAAACUCGUGCUUUCUGAUGCUGAGCUCAAACAAGGCCAGGAUGCUACUGUUGCCCACUGGAUCAAAAGGUUCAAACAAGUGCUCUAUGAUGCUGAUGACUUGCUUGAUGAUGUCUUCAUCAAAGACUUGCGCCGCAAAAGAAUGAGUCAGGUGCGUGGCUUCUUUUCCAAGUCUGUGAAUCCAAUUCUUUUCCGUGCUAAGUUAGCUCGUAAGAUUGAGAAUAUUCGGAAGGAGUUUAAUAAUGUUGCUGAAGAGAUGUCUAAGUUGAACCUGAAUCGGAGUUCGGUAAUUCUUAAGCAAGAUGAGUGUGCGUGGAGGGAAACAAGUUCUUCCGUUUUGCAAUCAGAGAUAAUUGGAAGGGAAGAGAAUAAGAAUGAGAUUGUUAACCUGCUGAAGCAAACUCAUCCGAACCGAAAUGUUUCUUUAAUUGUUGUUGUUGGUAUGGGGGGUUUAGGCAAGACAGCCCUUGCUCAGCUCGUGUACAAUGCUGCUAAAGACCAGAACCUCUUUCAGAAAUAUAUAUGGGUGUGCGUUUCAGAAGAUUUCGAGGUGAAAACUAUUUUGAAGAAGAUGCUGGAGUCUUUAAAGAAGGAUGCUGGUGGUGAUUCAUUAGAGGCCCUACAACAAAAGUUGCGAGAAGAAUUGAAUGGGCAAAAUUAUAUGCUUGUGCUUGAUGACGUGUGGAAUGAAGAUCAUUCAAAGUGGAGUGAUUUAAGAACUCAUUUGAUGUGCGGAGGUCAAGGCAGUAAGCUAUUAGUGACGACUCGUAGUACAUUGGUUUCUAAAGCAAUGGGUAUUGACGAGCCGUAUGUUUUGAGAGGUUUGACAGAUGAGCAAUCAUGGACAUUGCUAAAGAACCUGACAUUUGGUGAAGAUAGCAGCAGAAUGAGAUCUGAAUUACAAACAAUUGGAAAGGAAAUUGCAAAGAAGUGUAAAGGAGUGCCAUUGGCGAUCAAAAUAAUAGGAGGCUUCUUACGGAUAAGUGUUGAAGAAAUUGAUCAAUGGUCAAGUCUUCUGCAUGGUGAUAUUUGGAGGUUAUGUGAAGAAGAGAAUAGUAUCAUGCCGGUCCUAAAUUUGAGUUACCGAAACUUGCGUCCUGAACUAAGACAAUGUUUUGCGUAUUGUUGUCUAUAUCCAAAAGAUUCGGUAAUCGGAAAGGAUGAGUGUAUUCAAUUGUGGAUGGCCCAAGGUUAUCUUGCAAGUUUAACUGGAACGCAAUCUAUGGAAGAUGUGGGUAAUAAUUAUGUGAAGAUUUUGUUAAUGAGGUCAUUCUUCCAGGAUGCAUUAAUGGAUGAAAAUGGUCAUAUUAGGUUCUUAAAAAUGCAUGAUUUGAUGCAUGAUCUUGCAACGUCAGUAGCUGGAAAUGAUUGUUACUUACAUACUGAGGGAAAAGGAAUUGUUGGAAGACCCAUGCAUGUGGCUUUUGAAACUAGUACCAUUUGUUCAUUGGAUGUGCUUGAUGUUUGCAAAUUACGGACAAUCAUCCAUUGCAACAUUGCUAGAAAUUUAGCGGGCAAACUCUCUUUUAUGAAAAAACUGAAGUGCCUUCGUGCUUUGAAUUUGUCAUUUAAUUCUAUGACUCAGCUACCAAAGUCCAUUGAUAAAGUCAAACAUUUAAGAUACCUUGAUCUUUCAUACUCUCUAAAACUAAGAAGUUUGCCUGAAUCGAUUGGCAAUCUUGUUUGUUUGCAAACAUUAAAACUAAAAGGUUGUAAAUCUUUAGUUAGUUUGCCUGAAUCGAUUGGCAAUCUUGGUUGUUUGCAAACAUUAAAUUUAACAUUUUGUGAAUCUUUAGUUAGUUUGCCUGAGUCAGUUGGCAAUCUUAAUUAUUUACAUACAUUGAUAUUGACUUUUUGUAAUAAACUUGUUUUUCCAACAAAGAUUAUUACAAAAUUGAUCAAUUUGAAGGAGCUCGACAUUGAAGGUUGUAAAGCCUUUGAAGAUGGCAUGCCAGUAGGAUUGGGGAAAUUGCUUUCAUUGCAAUCCUUGUCAAGUUUUGUAGUAGGGAAUAACAAAAAAGAUACAAGUGGCAAAUUGAAUGAACUGAAAGAGCUUGUUGACCUCAGAGGCAAAUUGACCAUUCGUAAUUUGGGUUUGGUAAAGGACGCGGCAUCGGAAUCUAAUGAGACAAAUAUGAGAUCAAAGAAACACAUUCAAGACCUUUCACUGUUAUGGGGGAUCAGAUGCUCUGAUUCCAGUGAAUAUGAAAUAAGAAAGAGUGAGAGUUUGGUGUUAUUGGAUAAUCUUUGUCCCCAUCAAAAUCUGAGAUCACUACAUUUGGAAGGCUUUCCAGGAGUGAGGUUUUCAGAUUGGCUUAUCUCGCUAAUUAAUGUUGUUCGCAUAUUUCUCUGGGAUCUUCCCAAUUGCAAACAUCUCCCACCUUUGGAAAGACUGCCUUGCCUUCGUGUGCUCAAGGUUGAUCAUAUGGGAUCGCUGGAGUGGAUGGAUUAUUAUGAAAAUAUUGGUGAUGUGUUUUUCCCGUCUUUGGAGGAACUCGUAAUCAAUUACUGUAACAACCUGAGAGGAUGGCAGAAGAAUGCAAAUGAGACUCAAAACCAUCUUUCUCUACCUCCUUUUCCCCGUCUCUCUUAUCUCCGAAUUGAUAAUUGUCCAAAGUUGACCUGCAUGCCUUCUUUCCCACACCUCGUUGAGUUGGAGUUAGGAGGGGGUAAUAGCGUGAAGCUGAUGUUGGAAACAUGUAUGGUUAAGCAUGACUCUUCAUUCAUCUCUCCUCUCUCUCAUCUCAAGCACUUGUGGCUUAGGGAAGUUACAGGGAUAGAAGCAAUGGCAGUGGACUGGAUGAAAAACCUCACAUCGCUCCAGAGUCUCGACCUUAGUAGAUCGUCAGCCAUUCAGAUUCUGUCACGACACUUGCAAUAUCUUCCUUCUCAACUUCAAGAGUUGAAGAUUAGUUUCAAUGACGACAAGCUUGACCUCUGGAAACACACACAAGGUCGUGAUCCUCCUCAUGCGCUCUCUUCUCUGCAGACAAUCAUCUUCUCCCGUUGUCGGGACAUGAAGGCUUUACCAGAGCAGAUUGGCAACCUCCAAUCACUAAGGGUUUUAGAGAUUAGGUAUUGCCCUAAAUUAGAGUCAUUGGAUGAAGCUGACCGUUGCCUUACCAACAUACACACACUACGGAUCUGUGGUUGUCCAAUCCUAAAGCGCAAAUACGACCCUGAUAGUGGAGAAGAUCGGGCCAAGAUAGCUCACAUCCCAAACAUAUCCAUAUACGGAGAUUGAUACCCUCAAAAGGGGAUUCUUGCAAAUCAUUUUCUUCUUGGCAUACUUUCAAAUUUCAAUAUGCCGAUAUCUGCUGCUUCAAUGGGAAGAUACAAAUACUUGGUCUCAUCAUUCCAUUUUGCAAAAUGUUGAAUCCUCAAGAUGGUCAAAUUCUGACCCAGUUCCUCCUUUGGGUACAACACUGAUUAAAGUAGCAUGCAAAGGAAAUUACAUUCAGCUAUAAGCCAAUUACCCUAGCUUCAAACUUAUUUAGGCAUGGCUUAUCCUUCAGAUUUCAGUUGUGGCAUCUAAAAGUAACUAUG